rnacentral:rRNA from 1 species
AUGUUAUCUUUGGCACCUCUUUAUCCUCAGAAUGAUACUGUUACUGCUGUUCAAACAUCUACAGGCUUUAGUUCUACCAGAUUUUAUUUCUUUCUGAUGAGGAAUUACAGGCUUUCUUUGCUGCCGGGGUUUGGAACUCGUGAGAUGAAACGGGAAUUGGUUGCAACCCUAACCAAAGCUAUAGACAAGAUUCUUUGGUCGGACAUGUGUGCUAUGUGUCUAGACCCAUUCAGAAUAUGUGUGAUCCUCAUGAUCAUAGUCGCCGCACUUGUUGAAUAUGCUAGUGGCAAACUGGCAAUAUGA